rnacentral:rRNA from 1 species
AUUUAUGAAAAUUUUACAUGUGAGCUUGGUUUUAAAUAAUUCGUUUACAGUAUUUAUUAUUAGUUGAAUUUUUAAAAAAAGAUCUAGUUAUUUAUAUUAGUCCCAACAAAAAUUGUGCCAGCAGUUGCGGUUACACAAUUGGUUCAAUUAUUAUUUUUUAUUUUUUAAUAAAAAUUUAUUUUUGAUUGCAUUUUUAAUAUUAGGUGAAAUUUUAUUAAUUAAUUAAUUUUUAUGUUUUUGAUUUAAUUAAAUCUGGCCUUUAAACUGGGAUUAGAUACCCCAUUAUUCCAGACGUAUAUUUUGAUGAUUAUUAGUUAUGUUCUUUAAAGUCAAAUUAUUUGGCGGUUUUUUAUUCUAAUCAGGGGAACCUGUUCUUUAAUCGACAAUCCACGAUUAUUAAAACUUUUAUUUGUUUGUAUAUCGUCGUAUAAAUUAUUUUUUGAAAAUAUAAUUUUAUACUUUUUAGGUUUAAGUUCAGAUCAAGGUGCAGCUUAUAGGAGGAGAAAUGGGUUACAAUAAAUUUAUUUUAGGAUGGAAAUUAUAAUAUGUUUCUUGAAUUUGGAUUUGAGAGUAAUUUUGUUUAUUUAAUGAGAUGAAUGGGGCUCUAAAAUAUGUACAUAUCGCCCGUCGCUUUCUCUAAAAGGAGAAAUAAGUCGUAACAUAGUAGU